CUCCAGCCGCCACUGCCCCACCCAUGUUUCUCCUCGCGCGCUCGCCCCAGACCAGCCGCCGCCGCGCCGCUGGGGCUCGUCCGCCACGGGUUUCCAUGGGGAAGGAGCAGCGACGGGGUAGGCUCCAGGCGGCACACACUUCAUGGGGAGGCAAGGAACCAGAAGGUGAUGGGGUCGGAUCUGGCGGUGGUAGGUCGAAGCUCGAUCCCGAGGCCUAGACGGGGAAGGUUAAAAAAUAGAGAGACCGGAUGGAGGUGGUCGAGGCGGAGGACCGCCAGCCGGUGAGCUCGAGCUUGAGACGGUGAGAUCCCUUUCCCCAUCUCUAUUCUCUCAGUUUCUUCCUCUCCAAAUCUUCAUUUAUCGCCUCUCGCCCUUAGCACAAUUAGCGUCACCGGCCAUUGUAUGGGUUGGAGCACGAGGCAGCGCUCCCGUCACUACGUGGUGGAGCUGCGUAGGAUGGGGAGCAGGCUGGCAACAGGGAUUGGUUCUUCAGUUCAUUUGCUGCAGGACAGAAUGUUCUAUGGGUUGGAGCAGAGGGUGUUGAGCAACAUCUGAGAUUGGGUGAGUGCUCAGGUUCUAUAACUGACUUUUCUUCAAGUAUGGCUGUAGUAAUUCAAAGAAAAACAAAUAGCAUGCAGAUUUGCUUGUUUCAUCUAAAUCAAGGAAUUUUAUAAUGUGCAAAUCAACACUAUAUAGUAUACAACAGCGAACGGAGAUACUAACCACACGAUCUCAUUACGUGUUGCACGCGAGAUCGCAGGGUGCAGCUUGGUAGCGCCGGCAUGGAUGCGUGUUAACCAUAGCGUUGAAGGCAAUCUUCCCCCUCCCGAAAUGCCCUAGGCGCAGCAGCGAUGGCGCAGCCAUGAUUGCUGGAAGUCUCCUCCAUGUUCGAUCUCGAUAAACUGACUGUCGUUCCCCACGCCACUCUCGCAUGAUUCAAUGGAACUUAAAUUUUGAGUGCUACAAUCAACCCGUUUGCCUGUUUGCACAUCUGUAUUUCGGUUAUAAAAAUUGACUCAUUCUUUAGUUCGUUAUUACUCAGGUCACCGCAGCACUGACCUUCUAUUAGGUAUACACACACCAAAAUUUCCAUGCCACUAGAAAUAUUUGCAUUCUUUUAAUGGGUCGAGUCACACAGAAGGUUGAACUUUCAAUGCUUUUUACUCAGCAUAGACGUAUUUUCUGUAGUCGAAGACUUUUGACAAUGUGUGGAAUCUGGCAAAUCAUUUUCAGUUUUGAGUUCAUCUGAGUCAGGCUCUGUAUCAAAUUGUCUUCAGUGUAGCAUUCACUUGAGUUGGAUUUUGUAUUGGUUUAUAUUUUGUGGUAGAAUAUCCCAUAUUGUGUACUCUGGGACCAGGUCUAUUUCAACACACACGAACCCAUUGACCUCCCAUGUUCCUGGGGAGCGUUGCAUGUCGGAAAAGUUAGGGGUUGCGUCACACAAAGUUCUGCAUUGACACUUGGAAAGUAAGUGAAGUGAUAUGCCAUUUGCUGAGGCUAUCUACAAUCCUGUUAAAAGGCAACUGCUAAACACUGAAGGGCAAUGGAAUUCAAUUUGUAGAUAUUCGCAGUUUGAUAAAUUAUAUUAGUGGUAUUUCUUGUAUUUAUAUAAGGAAAACAAAAAUAGCUACCUUUGUGUGAAUUACAGUGCUAAUGAUCAGUUCUUUGUCUCAGGCAUGAAUGUACAGAUUCAAGAUUUCCUUUCACCUAGGCUUGGUCAGUUGGCCACUUCAAUUCCCACUUCUUGUCAUGUGAUCUUGAUGUGGAUACUUCGACAUUACAUACAAAAUAUGACGCAUUCUGUAGAAGUUACUAAUGGUCAAAAUUUUACUGAAUCCGUCACUUGCUUACUCCUAUUCACAUUUCAGCCUCCUUGCAUGGUAGAGCAUAACAUGGUUCCUGAUGUUCCAUUCUAACUACCUAAUAAUUUUAGGACACUGGUGUUGGUUUUUGGGGAAAUGGAAUGCCUAAGAUGCACUGUCCUUUUGUUCCAAAAAUAACCGCAAAAUCAUUGACACAUUGUUGUGUGGUUUAUGACAUCUGUUGUUUAUAUCUUCGAGUGACUAACUUCAAGUUGAAGUCGAGAUUGCUUACUGAUCACAUGCUUUAGGCAGUAGUAAUUACAAUCUUUAUCUCUGUUUGAGAAGCAAAGAUGAAUUAUUUUGAACUUCGGAUUAGUUGAGUUAGGAGCUAUAUGUACCAGUUUUGUUUGAUCAACCACGAGUUCUAUUGUAAUCCUUUUUGAUACAUUUUUUAGAUUUUUGUAUCCAGCUGAAUCUUCGUGUUCCGCCGUGGCCGUGAUAUCUCAUGCGUUAUCAUGCAGCUGAAUCUUUAUUUACAAUGUCGUAAUAUCUCAUGCGUUAUCAUUCAUUCAUUCUUAUUUUAGGUGAUGCGUUGACCUGAACGGCAUGGUGGUAAGGCAUCAUAAUAGGUGCUACUAUUGGCUAGAAUGGCGCCGUGGUAAGGCAUUCUAAGGUUCCAUAUGAUUAGUGUUUGGGUGACUGUUGUUGAUUCCUACACCGAGUUGUGUUGCUGUACAAAUAGCCUCUCUUGUUGGUGGUGCCACGGUGUCCCUUCCAGGUUAGCAGCAACCCUUUUACCCAUCAUUCCCAUAUUUUUUUCUUAACUUACAUACUGAGCUGUAGGUUUGUCGGACCUGUUGCAUAAGGCAGAACAAGAAUAAGAACAUUUGUCAGUUUUUUCAUGUGCAGGUUUAGCAGCGGGCAAUGCUUAAGACAGAGUUGGGUGCACAUCAUAUAUAUACAUAUGUUGUCGCGUCUUAAUAAAGGGAGAUGAGCAGAAGUAGAGAUGAGAUAUCUAUCUGACUGUCAUCCUUCCAAGACUUGGGUUUGUCAUCUCUGUCAGCGUCCGCUUUUGCUUCCUUCGUUGGUUGUCGCUUCUUUGUACACUGCUGUAGUUUAGAGAUUGUAAUAUAUUUUCCAUGGAUACAAUUGAAUAUGACACCCAAUUUGCUAUAUAAUUGUCCAGCUCUCUCUCAUAGCGAUUCAUACAAAAUAUCAUGCAUAAUGGUCCCAGUUUAAGUAGAAUAUAACCAUUGGAUUAUUCAAACUUUGCUCGUGUGUCACAGGGCACCAUAACUUUAAUCCGACAUGAGCAGUGCAACCACGACAGUGAGCAGUGGAAUCACAAGAUAGAGAUAGACACAAGUAGAAUAUAACUGGUCAUAUUUCUACAAUGACCACACUACUUAUGGUGCCGGAAGAGAAGGCAUCAGUGAUAGUGGGCUUGGUGAUGAGGGCAUCAAUACAAAGAUAUUAAUUCACAACUCUGUUCUUGAUAGGUUGUACCAAAUAUAUAAGGUUACUGUUUCCUUUUAUGUUUAAAUAGCUUUGUGAGUACAAUUAUAUGAAAAUUCUGUGAUUCAUGGUGCGGAAGCAGGCAUCUUUGUUUUCUUGAGUGAAAAUACUUAGUUUCAUGCCUCCAUAGUAUUAUUUAGAGGCACAAUCCAAUGAUAGAUUCCUACUUAUAGCUAGCUAAUAUAUAGCGUUUGAUGGUACUGUAUGAUGUUGUAAAUACAAAAUAUGCUGCAUGAGCAUUACUUUUAUUUUGAAUUUAAUUUAGUGUUUGAGCCUCUUUUACAUAUUAAGUGUAAUAUCACAGACUUCUUUCAGAGUUAACUGGCCAUGCAAAAACUGUUGUGAAGGCAUUAAAUGGUACUCCC
rnacentral:lncRNA from 1 species